CUAGAGCGCCGAAAGGCUGCUUAAAACCAUCGCGAACCUAUCCAUCAGCGUUGCUUCGGCGGGAAGGUCCCGGGGCCGCGAUUCUCGCGGGCCCGGGUCCGGGAACCCACCCUCUCCGGAGGUUGCGGGGCCCGCCUGCCGGAGGUACGAAACUCUUGCGCAUCUCCGUGGAUCUCUGAGUAAGCAAGCAAAUAAGUUA
rnacentral:misc_RNA from 1 species